rnacentral:rRNA from 1 species
GACGAACGCGGCGGCGUGCCUAAUACAUGCAAGUAGAACGCUGAAGGAGAAGCUUGCUUCUCUGGAUGAGUUGCGAACGGGUGAGUAACGCGUAGGUAACCUGCCUGGUAGCGGGGGAUAACUAUUGGAAACGAUAGCUAAUACCGCAUAAGAGUAGAUGUUGCAUGACAUUUGCUUAAAAGGUGCAAUUGCAUCACUACCAGAUGGACCUGCGUUGUAUUAGCUAGUUGGUGGGGUAACGGCUCACCAAGGCGACGAUACAUAGCCGACCUGAGAGGGUGAUCGGCCACACUGGGACUGAGACACGGCCCAGACUCCUACGGGAGGCAGCAGUAGGGAAUCUUCGGCAAUGGACGGAAGUCUGACCGAGCAACGCCGCGUGAGUGAAGAAGGUUUUCGGAUCGUAAAGCUCUGUUGUAAGAGAAGAACGAGUGUGAGAGUGGAAAGUUCACACUGUGA